UUCCUAAUGCAAACUAAGUCUAAAGAUAAACUAUAAUCAACUAUAUAAUUUAAUUUAAUUCAAUUGAUUCAAAUUACCUAACCAAGAAGGUCCAAAUAAAUGCUAAAUUGACUGCAUCCAAAAACAACCACAUAUGAACAUCAAAAAAAUCAUCAUCGGCAUAUACACCUGUAAACCAUUAUAAGAGAGACAAUAUUUGAAUAAACAGACCGCAGUACUUCGUAGGUUUGUAUGGAAACAAAGGCCAUACAAGUAUAGGAAAAAGUCAGAUCCGGGCACACAUUUGAUUAAAGAAUAAACAGACCGCAGAUCUUCAUAAGCAUCCCCCCACUUAACAGUGCAUCCACACCAUUAACAUCAUAAAAAUGUUUCAACUACACAACUUCACCUUUG
rnacentral:misc_RNA from 1 species